rnacentral:rRNA from 1 species
AGUGAACGCUGGCGGUAGGCCUAACACAUGCAAGUCGAACGGCAGCACAGUUGGAGCUUGCUCUUACGGGUGGCGAGUGGCGGACGGGUGAGGAAUACAUCGGAAUCUACUUUUUCGUGGGGGAUAACGUAGGGAAACUUACGCUAAUACCGCAUACGACCUACGGGUGAAAGCAGGGGAUCUUCGGACCUUGCGCGAUUGAAUGAGCCGAUGUCGGAUUAGCUAGUUGGCGGGGUAAAGGCCCACCAAGGCGACGAUCCGUAGCUGGUCUGAGAGGAUGAUCAGCCACACUGGAACUGAGACACGGUCCAGACUCCUACGGGAGGCAGCAGUGGGGAAUAUUGGACAAUGGGCGCAAGCCUGAUCCAGCCAUACCGCGUGGGUGAAGAAGGCCUUCGGGUUGUAAAGCCCUUUUGUUGGGAAAGAAAAGCAGCAGGUUAAUACCCCGCUGCUCUGACGGUACCCAAAGAAUAAGCACCGGCUAACUUCGUG